UACGUAGGGGGCAAGCGUUGUCCGGAAUCAUUGGGCGUAAAGCGCGCGUAGGCGGCCCGGUAAGUCCGCUGUAAAAGUCCAGGGCUCAACCCUGGAAAGCCGGUGGAUACUGUCGGGCUAGAGUCCGGAAGAGGCGAGUGGAAUUCCUGGUGUAGCGGUGGAAUGCGCAGAUAGUCAGGAGGAACACCGAUGGCGAAGGCAGCUCGCUGGGACGGUACUGACGCUGAGGCGCGAAAGCG
rnacentral:rRNA from 1 species